UACGAAGGGGGCUAGCGUUGUUCGGAAUUACUGGGCGUAAAGCGCGCGCAGGCGGUUCUCCAAGUCAGUGGUGAAAGCCCGGAGCUCAACUCCGGAACUGCCAUUGAAACUGUUGAACUUGAGGACGAGAGAGGUGAGUGGAAUUCCCAGUGUAGAGGUGAAAUUCGUAGAUAUUGGGAAGAACACCGGUGGCGAAGGCGGCUCACUGGCUCGUAUCUGACGCUCAGGCGCGAUAGCGUGGGGAGCAAACGGG
rnacentral:rRNA from 1 species